rnacentral:misc_RNA from 1 species
CAUUAUACUUAUGGAUGUGACUAUGAUAUGAAGGUAUUGGCAGCACAGUGAUGCAGUUGUUUCAGUCUAUUUUCCUGGGAAAGGAAAUAUGGAAAUAGGAACAAUUGCUUCCAACCUUUGGAUUUAUUGCAAUACAAUUAUUUGCUUUUUUCCUGGUUGAGUGAUAGUUUUGGCUUUUCCUGAUCUAUGUUCAGGGUAAACUAACAUAUGGAAGGAUUGGAGAAUGGAGGUUUGACAAAAGAUCCUUUGACAGUGUUGCACCCCCUAGGAACCUUUCGUUGCCUCCACCUGGUGUUCCAGAAAGUGUGGUAUGUUUCUUCUCCCUUGAUAGUCCUAACUUGUUGCAGAGUAGUACACGUGAAUUUUAACAUCAUCAAUUUAAAAAUAGGCCUGUGCAUUUUUUUUUUUCUGCUUGGAGUUUCUUACUUUUUUAUCCUUUCACUACGCACAAUGUUGGAUUUUUCCUAUAAUUACAUUGAAGUAAUGGAUGCAAUUGGCAUUUAGUUAUGCUUGCUGAGAGCAUUUCCAUACCAAGUCAAAAUCAAUUCUCAUCAGGGCAUUGCUGUUAGUGGUGGAUAGAAAAAGCAUUAUGUGUUAACUAAAUUUAAUUUACACAAAUUCUGCCUGGGCUUUGGACAAAUUAUGAAAUAAGUCCUUUUCCAUUAUGUCAAAUGGAUGUAAAAAUAAAAUACCAUGAAAUAUCAUUCCUUAAAGCAUUCUCAGAUCCAUUGCAGUAGUUAAUUCCAUUUUAAUGGUAGAAAAGAACAGUCUCAAUGUGAUAGCAGCUUUAGGGAUGGAACUUUGGUGGGAGGAGAGCCUUGCAUGUGGUUUAGGCAUGACCCUUCCAGCCUUGAAAUUACUCACUGAGGCUUUACUUGAACCUAACAUUUACAUUCUUUGGACAUUCAUGGACAAAUACAAGUGCUUGCUUUGGUUGUUAAAAGUAAGAUACUUCCCUUUAUACUGGUAUUGGUAUGUGAUUUGAGACCACUAGAAGAAAUAAUGAUUUUGCUUUGGUGUCUGUUUUGAAGUUUCUUGUCUUCACUUUUAAGUGAAAAAAAGAAUAUCAUAUCUGUUGCUUGCUCAGUGGAGCUUUACAAGUAAAUAUUACAUUGGCAGGUGACUUUGGUGAAAAUGGUGAAUGAAGCCACAGCAAAUAUUCCUAACUGGGGAUCAUAGAAGAUUUUAGGGUGGCAGCUGUCAAGACAUCACUAUUUAUU